rnacentral:rRNA from 1 species
UACGGAGGGUGCAAGCGUUGUCCGGAUUUAUUGGGUUUAAAGGGUGCGUAGGCGGCGCGGUAAGUCGGGUGUGAAAUCUCGGAGCUUAACUCCGAAACUGCAUUCGAUACUGCCGUGCUUGAGGACUGGAGAGGAGACUGGAAUUUACGGUGUAGCGGUGAAAUGCGUAGAUAUCGUAAGGAAGACCAGUGGCGAAGGCGGGUCUCUGGACAGUUCCUGACACUGAGACACGAAGGCCAGGGGAGCAAACGGG